AAAGUACUAUAGCAGCACAUCAUGGUUUACAUACUAUAGUCAAGAUGCGAAUCAUUAUUUGCUGCUCUAGAAAUUUAA